rnacentral:lncRNA from 1 species
ACAAGGACCCCUCUGCAGAUGUGCUUUCCGAACUUGGUAUUGGAUGCUAACAUUAUAAUCCGAAAUAAGAGGUCACACACCAGGAUCGGUAGGACUUUCUGGCAAAUCAAUUUUGACUUCCGUUUGACUCACAAGCAACUACUUUCCCAUCGAAAUUUGGCGGCAAUUUUCUUUUUAAGCACCUCUCCAUAACUAUUUUAAAAUAGAGUUACACGUCAGACAUUUAUCCAAGUUAGUUACUAAAAAAACACAACACCGCCACCGCCACCGCUACCGCUUAACAGAAAAAAUCAAACAAAUUCAUAGGCAGCAAGCAAAUGCAAUAGCUGCAGAACAUAUCCAUUCAACGAAAAAAAAUUAAGAAAAAAACUAGCCAAUAAAAGCAUUACAUACGCAAUUACAUGUCUCGUAAGCAUUUAAUCAAACACUUGGCAUAUACCACGUAAGAAAAAUGAAUUUUGGAAACAAGCAUGUACCUGACAAAUGCCAUUAUUUAGUUGGCUAUUAAUCCCCAGUUGAAAUUUGGGAUAAAAAGGCUUCGGUUCCUUUUUUUUUUUUUUUUUUUCCUUGAAGGGAAUUUCAAUGCAAUUGAAUUAGCUGACAGCCUAGCGUUUUGCAAUGGGUUCCAUUUUCGUCUCUACAUUUUAGCUCGAAAGAGAGUCUCUCUUCACUAACUUCACUUGGAGAGGUACCGCGUCUUGGUCGCUUGGAUAGUUCCCGGGUAGGGACCCGAUUCUACCUAACCCGGGAAAUUUAUUUUCUUAAUUUUUUUGAAAAGAAAAAUCACAGUUGAAAAAAA